rnacentral:rRNA from 1 species
UACAGAGGUCCCAAGCGUUGUUCGGAUCCACUGGGCGUAAAGGGUGCGUAGGCGGUCGGGUAAGUCUGAUGUGAAAUCUCACAGCUUAACUGUGAAACUGCAUUGGAUACUAUCCGGCUCGAGGAAUGGAGGGGAGACUGGAAUACUUGGUGUAGCAGUGAAAUGCGUAGAUAUCAAGUGGAACACCAGUGGCGAAGGCGAGUCUCUGGACAUUUCCUGACGCUGAGGCACGAAAGCCAGGGGAGCAAACGGG